ACAGCCACAUCAUAGUGAAAUACCGGCUCCUGUAAGAUUACCGAAGUUAAGCUACAUCGAGCCUGGUCAGUACCAAGAUGGGUGACCGUUGGGAAUACCAGUUGCUGUG